rnacentral:rRNA from 1 species
GACCUCGGAUCAGGUAGGAAUACCCGCUGAACUUAAGCAUAUCAAUAAGCGGAGGAAAAGAAACCAACAGGGAUUGCCUCAGUAACGGCGAGUGAAGCGGCAAAAGCUCAAAUUUGAAAUCUGACCCUUCGGGUCCGAGUUGUAAUUUGCAGAGGAUGUUUCGGGUGAGAUUUAGGUCUAAGUUCCUUGGAACAGGACGUCAUAGAGGGUGAGAAUCCCGUACGUGACCGUUGAUCGCACCCAUGUGAAACUCCUUCGACGAGUCGAGUUGUUUGGGAAUGCAGCUCAAAAUGGGUGGUAAAUUUCAUCUAAAGCUAAAUAUUGGCCAGAGACCGAUAGCGCACAAGUAGAGUGAUCGAAAGAUGAAAAGCACUUUGAAAAGAGAGUUAAACAGUAUGUGAAAUUGUUGAAAGGGAAGCGC